AAGUCAAUUCUCCUGAAUUUUAUAAAAAUGUUACCUUCAUCUGGCCUAAACUCGAAUGGCUCCUUCCCAGCAUAGUGAAGUUUGAGGAUCAAAGUGACGCUUCUCAAAGCUUGAGAACCAAAAGUUCAAUAUAGCUAUUACUUUGUGAUCAUAUAGCAAAUUAUUACCAUCUAUAUGAUUCUUUUUUAAGAGUCUGUGAUGGUUAUAUUGUUGUUCCUCCUUUACUG
rnacentral:lncRNA from 1 species